rnacentral:rRNA from 1 species
AUUGAACGCUGGCGGAAUGCUUACACAUGCAAGUCGAACGGCAGCACGGACUUCGGUCUGGUGGCGAGUGGCGAACGGGUGAGUAAUGUAUCGGACCGUGCCCAGUCGUGGGGGAUAACGUAGUGAAAAUUACGCUAAUACCGCAUACGAUCUAUGGAUGAAAGCGGGGGAUCGCAAGACCUCGCGCGAUUGGAGCGGCCGAUAGCAGAUUAGGUAGUUGGUGGGGUAAAGGCCCACCAAGCCAACGAUCUGUAGCUGGUAUGAGAGGACGACCAGCCACACUGGAACUGGGACACGGUCCAGACUCCUACGGGAGGCAGCAGUGGGGAAUUUUGGACAAUGGGCGAAAGCCUGAUCCAGCCAUUCCGCGUGCAGGAUGAAGGCCCUCGGGUUGUAAACUGCUUUUGUACAGAACGAAAAGGUUUCUACUAAUACUAGGAGCUCAUGACGGUACUGUAAGAAUAAGCACCGGCUAACUACGUGCCAGCCGCCGCAGUAA